UAAUGAAAAAUUUAGAAGAAGAAAAAAAAUCAUUCCUUACCCCCAUUGCCCAGAGUCAAACUACUUUUUUUUUCAAGUUUAUUUUGAGAGGCAGAGAGAAAAAGUGAGCGUGAGCAGGGGAGAGGCAGAGAGAGAGAAUCCCAAGCAGGCGCACGCUGUCAGCAUGCUGAGACUGAUGCGGGACUCGAACUCAUGAACCUUGAGAACAUAAACUGAGCCGAAAUCAAGAGUCAGCCACUUAACCAACUGAGCCACCCAGGCACCCCUCAAACUACAUUUUUAUACAUCUCUAUCCUUCCUUUUUCAAGUUUAUUUAUUUAUUUUGACAGAGAGAGGAAGAGACAGAGAGCGCAUGAGCAGGAGCUGGGCAGAGAGAGAGAGAGAGAAAGACUCCCAAGCAGGCUCAGCAUUGCCAGUCUGGAGCCCGAUGUGGGGCCUGAACUCAUGAACCAUGAGAUCAUGACCUGAGCUGAAACCAAGACCCAGAUGCUUAACUGACUGAGCCACCCAGACACCCCUACAUCUCUAUCCUUCAUGUAUAUGUAUAUGUGUGUGAUUUAUACCUCACAUAACUGGGUUUAUACUAUAUAUCCUGUUUAUAGUCUGCUUUUUGGAUUCAACAUUAUAUCAUGAGACUUUUGUCUAUCCCACUGAAAAAUCUUUACGGAUACUAUCAGUAAAAGCUGAUAUGAAUGGACCAUGAUUUCCCCAAUCAUUUCCUAUUACUGAACAUUUCAGUUGUUCCCUGUUCGGGUAGAGCAGAAGGGAGAGUCAUGUUUCGAAUGUGUCGGUUGCCAAGCUUCUGCAGCGUAACCUAAAAGAAAGCAUGUGGCUGGAUGCCCUGCUCUGAUCCCUUUGCGGAGCUGCGAGGGAUGGGUCUGCCUUCAAAUACUGUGAGUCAGUGGCUCUGUGUUUGGUUGGAACCUGAUUUUCAAGAAUGUUGUUUCUUACCGUCUCUAGAUAGGGCUAUGCUGUUUUGCUGGAGCAGGAGGCUCCCUCAUUCCACACACCUUGUGUUUAGGAAGAGUGUACAUCCUCAUUUACCUGAACGGUCCCAGUUGAUGCCAGUUAUCCCUGUGCAAUUGGUAACAGCAUCCCUUCUCACGCUUAAAAAUGUUUGCGUUUGGAAAAUGCAUGAUAGGAUCCGACACCCCAGCUGCUUUGCUCCUCCAACUUCCUGCCCUGGAGGCGUGUGAGAUGGCAAUGUGCUCCUGUCCAUUGUGGGAACGUGGUUUCCAUAGAGACUAGGAAGGGCAGCAGGGCCUCUUGGGUCUCCCUAAAACUGUACCCCAAGGACAUUAUGCCCAUGGGGCACAUAGACUUUCCAUCUUCCACACAUCAGAUAGCAUGUGAUAGAAGCAUCUCUACUAAAGUUGGUGUGGAAACUGAUCUGGAUCUUAUAUUUUUUGCAUAUUGCAUGGGAUUAUAUUAAGUCCGGAGUAUAAAUAUGUAUCUAUUUUAUUUGUGUUUUCCUAACACAGCAUGACGUGCACAAUGGCUAUUAGAUUAAUGCUAUGGAGUCACCGUCUUUAACAUUGACAUCGAAAAACCUGAAUACAGCUUGUGAUGGUUCGAUGCAGAAAAUGUUCCUGCCGGACAGAGCUAACAGAAGGGACAGUUGAACCAGAUUGUUGACAAUGGCUGCAUUUUGAAUAGUGGCAAAAAGGAAUUACAAUGACUUGCCCACCAAUGUUCACAGCGGCAUUAUUCACAACAGACAAAAGGUGGAAACAGCCCUGGUGUCCAUCAACAGGAAUGGAGAAACAAAAUGUGGUCUGUACCUUCAGUGGAAUACUACUGAUCCUUAAUAAGAAUGAAGUGCUGAUACAUUCUAGACCAUGGAGGAACCUUGAAGACAUUAUGCUAAGCGAAAGAAGCCAGACCCAAGAGGACAAAUACCAUACGAUUCUAUUUAUAUGAGGUACCUGAAAUCGGCAAAUUCGCUGAGACAGUAGAAUAGAGGCCCCCGGGGGUGAGGGAAGGGGGAGUGGGGAGUUAUUGUUUAGCAGGUACGGAAUUUCUGCUUGGGAUGGUGAAAUAGUUCUGGAAAUGGAUAGUGGUGAUGAUGGCACAAUAUUGUGAAAGUACCUCAAGCCACUAAAUUCUGGGGGGCGCCUGGGUGGCUCAGUCGGUUGAGCGUCCGACUCCGUCUCAGGUCAUGAUCUCACGGUUUGUGAGUUCGAGCCCCGCGUCGGGCUCUGUGCUAGCAGCUCGGAGCCUGGAGCCUGCUUCAGAUUCUGUGUCUCCCUCUCUCUCUGCCCCUUCCCUGCUCAUACUCCGUCUCUCUCUGUCUCUCAAAAAUGAAUAAACAUUAAAAAAAAUUUUUUUUUUAAAAAGCCACUAAAUUCUGCACUUAAAGGGAGUAACAUGGCAUAUUUUAUGUUAUAUCUAUUUCACUCUAAAAAUUUACUUGAGAAAAGAGAAUUACAAUGUAAGACAGUAAGUGUUAAGAUCCUACCUAAAGACAGGCUUCCUUGUGGCCCUCAGGACUUCAUCUACUGUGGGGAGGCACCUGCUAGCCCUCCAAACCAGGCCCAUCUCUUCCAUCACUACACUUUGCCUUAUCCUCAGAGAAGCUGCCCAAAGGAUAUUGCUUCUUUCUGUGGCUAAAGUUUGAAUCAGGUGAUUUUGAUAACAAUUAAACACACUUCUGCUCUCUGCCCCAUCUGCCCCUUUGUCCAUCCAAAUAAACAAAAACAGAACAUAAUAUUAGCAGUAAGGCACAUGACAGGUCAAAUCCAGACUCACCGGCGAGGAGGAAGGCCUCCAUCAACCCCUGACCAUUUCUAUCACCCAAAUCACUGCCACCAGAAUGCUGCCUUCAUAGGCUCGGCCCGACAGAAUUUGUCCUUUACAUUUACCUCGCUGGGUUAUCAGGUCAUUUCUUUGGGAAAAUGAAGUUGUGUUUCUGUUCCUAUGUGGGUUUGAACAAACAGCCCAAGGGGAGAAAUAAAUUAUCCUUAAAGGAGGGAAAUUGUACAUCCUCUGUCAAGCACCUUGAGGACAGACUGCCUUCUGUGGACAACCUGUAACUCCCAAUAAGUAGUAAGACACAUAAGGAGCAAUCAAGUGGACAGAUUCCUUCCAACAGGCCACACAUGUUUGCUGCCCUUUGGUCUUAUCAUAGUGUCACAAAGCAUGGCUUGCCUCCACACAGGUAAGGAACAGGUUUAAGAUAGUGAAAGAAUCUUCUGGGAACCAACAGUGGCCAUGAUUGGCAAGAGGGAAGAGCACAGAGGGCCUGAUUCCUUCCCAGAAUUUCUCAUCAACCAAGCUGUGGCUUCCUUGGUGUGUGUAGCUGGCAUAAGACCCUGCCCACAGCAGGUCUGGCUAAACUACAGACAGUUUCUAGGAAGCCCCGGGAACGGUCAUCGUGUUGAUUUCUCAGAUCCCCAGGCCAAUGCCAACGUGGGGCCUCUCCUCUCUGGCUUCUGACACUAGAAUGACAGCCAGGGCCCGGAGGCUGGCCAGAGGAAUAGGCAGUGAAUGCAGGUGAUAUAAGCCCAUUCACACUGAGCCCAUUUGGCAAGCACGUCAGGGUCCAUUCCAUCCCACCUUUGGGGCACCUGGGUGGCUCAGUCGGUUAAGCGUCCGACUUCUGCUCAGGUCAUGAUCUCACAGUUCGUGAGUUCGAGCCCCGCAUCGGGCUCUGUGCUGACAGCUCAGAGCCUAGAUGGAGCCUGCUUCAGAUUCUGUGUCUCCCUCUCUCUCUGCCCCUCCCCCGCUCAUGCUCGCUCGCUCUCUCUCUCUCUCUCUCUCUCUCUCCUUCAAAAAUAAGUAAAAACAUUAAAAAAAAAAAAAA